UUCAAAAAAGACCAUAUAUCCUUGAAGAGUAACUGCUGACCUUAUUCACUGGCAGUGGGCCUUAUAGCACAGUCAAUGACCAGAUUAGAGACAUGC
ensembl:snoRNA